UAGGGAAUCUUCGGCAAUGGGGGCAACCCUGACCGAGCAACGCCGCGUGAGUGAAGAAGGUUUUCGGAUCGUAAAGCUCUGUUGUAAGAGAAGAACGUGUGUGAGAGUGGAAAGUUCACACAGUGACGGUAACUUACCAGAAAGGGACGGCUAACUACGUGCCAGCAGCUGCGGUAAUACGUAGGUCCCGAGCGUUGUCCGGAUUUAUUGGGCGUAAAGCGAGCGCAGGCGGUUUAAUAAGUCUGAAGUUAAAGGCAGUGGCUUAACCAUUGUUCGCUUUGGAAACUGUUAAACUUGAGUGCAGAAGGGGAGAGUGGAAUUCCAUGUGUAGCGGUGAAAUGCGUAGAUAUAUGGAGGAACACCGGUGGCGAAAGCGGCUCUCUGGUCUGUAACUGACGCUGAGGCUCGAAAGCGUGGGGAGCAAACAGG
rnacentral:rRNA from 1 species